rnacentral:rRNA from 1 species
CACCGCGGCCAUACGAGUGUAGCCCUAGUGGACAGUCAACGGCGUAAAGAGUGGUUAGGGGACCAUAAAACUAAAGAGGAACCACCUCCGAGCUGUUAUACGCAUCCGACAGUGUGAAGCCCUACCACGAAAGUGACUUUAACCUAACCUGAACCCACGAGAGCUGAGAAA